UACGGAGGGUGCAAGCGUUAUCCGGAUUCACUGGGUUUAAAGGGUGCGUAGGCGGGUUUGUAAGUAGGGGGUGAAAUCCCAGGGCUCAACCCUGGAACUGCCUUCUAGACUGCAAGCCUGGAGGUCAGGAGAGGCGAGUGGAAUACCGAGUGUAGAGGUGAAAUUCGUAGAUAUUCGGUGGAACACCAGUGGCGAAGGCGACUCGCUGGACUGAUACUGACGCUGAGGUGCGAAAGCGUGGGGAGCAAACAGG
rnacentral:rRNA from 1 species